rnacentral:tRNA from 1 species
GCAUUAAUAGUUUAAAAGAAUGUAGAUUUGUGGUAUCUAAGGUAUAAAUUUAUUUAUUUUCUGCC